UUCAAACGGCCUCAGAUCAGGUAGGACUACCCGCUGAACUUAAGCAUAUCAAUAAGCGGAGGAAAAGAAACUAACAAGGAUUCCCCUAGUAACGGCGAGUGAAGAGGGAAAAGCCCAAGAUUGAAAGCUGGCGUCUUCGGCGUCCGCAUUGUAAUCUCAAGAAGCAUUUUCCGCUUCGGACCAAGCCUAAGUCCCUUGGAAAAGGGCAUCGUAGAGGGUGAGAAUCCCGUACAUGGCUUGGAGCGCCCGAGGCUUUGUGAUAUGCAUUCUAAGAGUCGAGUUGUUUGGGAAUGCAGCUCAAAAUGGGUGGUAAAUGCCAUCUAAGGCUAAAUAUUGGGGAGAGACCGAUAGCGAACAAGUACCGUGAGGGAAAGAUGAAAAGAACUUUGAAAAGAGAGUUAAACAGUACGUGAAAUUGCCAAAAGGGAAGGGUAGGAGGUCAGAGAUGCGGCGUGGGAUUCAGCCUUGCUUUUGCUUGGUGUUUUUCCCUCAUUGCAGGCCAACGUCGGUUUUGGGCACUGGAGAAGGGUGAGAGGAAUGUGGCACUCUUCGGGGUGUGUUAUAGCCUCUCACUGGAUACAGCGACCGGGACCGAGGAACGCAGCGUACUCGAAAGAGCGGGCCUUCGGGCACCUUUACGCUUAGGGCGUUGGCAUAAUGGCCCUCUACCACCCGUCUUGAAACACGGACC
rnacentral:rRNA from 1 species